UACGGAGGGCGCAAGCGCUGUUCGGAAUCACUGGGCGUAAAGCGCGUUUAGGCGGCUUGGCAAGUCGAGUGUGAAAUCCCAGGGCUCAACCCUGGAACUGCACCCGAAACUGCCUCGCUGGAGUCCCGGAGAGGGUGGCGGAAUUUCCGGUGUAGAGGUGAAAUUCGUAGAUACCGGAAGGAACACCAGUGGGGAAGGAGGCCACCUGGACGGCGAUUGACGAUGAGACGCGAAAGCGUGGGGAGCAAACAGG
rnacentral:rRNA from 1 species